rnacentral:lncRNA from 1 species
AGAUUGUCUUGCGGCGAAGUCGAUGGAGACGAUGGCGGUGAAGUCAAAGGAGACGAUGGCUGCGAAGUCGACAGAUAUAGUAUAAGACAAUCAUAAAUUCGGCAAGGAGGAAGAUCAGGGAAUAGUAAUGCGAAUUAUGCCACUAUAUAUUUGAAUUACAUGGAGAUCAAUCACUCCAAAACCAAGUUUUCUGAUAUACAGACCGUUGUCUAGGCUUAUUACAUCAAAAUGCACAGUUACCUAAAAAAGCAGUCCUAUUUGUUCUUAGUUCUUUGAGUUGAACUUUUAGACCUGGCAUUUGAUUUCUUGCAUGGCUGAUAACUAUGAUGAUUGUGAUUCUUGGCAAUUCUAGUUUACUUCUCAGCUUGAAGAAUAUGCUCUCAUCUUUUAAGUAUAACCUUAAUGUUCCUCACUAUGCAAUGAUCCCAAAAUAUAUACGAAAAUGAGAAUGUACUUCAUGCUCUUCUAAAUUUUCUUUCCCUGACAAAAGGGAAAACACCGAGCUUCUAUUAGAUAAAACAAAGUAUUACAAGGUAUAUAUGGAGAAAAGUGUCACAGUAAUAGACGCAUUGUACAUGUACCAGGGCUCACAUAUGCAAACUAAUAUGAAGGGGAUUCAUACCUUCGGUGUAUUUGCCACAGGCAACAUUGGACGGCUCAACGGAUGUUCAUUACUCAUCUUAAGGGCCUGAAAAAAAAUCAACUCCAAAUCAAAAUAAGCUUUUUGCAGACAGACAUCAGUGUUGACUAAAUCAUAACUGUGAAAAAAAUAGCUGAUCAUUCUUUUAUUCUCUCAAGUGGCACCAGGCACUUAAUUCUACUGAAAAAUAUGCAGAUACACACUGGCC